GCCAGGCACGGUGGUGAAUGCCUUUAAUCCCAGUGGCUCAGGAGGCUGAGGCAGGAGGAUUGUGAGUUCAAAACCAGCCUCAGCAACUUAGCGAGGCACUAAGCAAUUCAAUGAGACCCUGUCUCUA
rnacentral:sRNA from 1 species